rnacentral:ncRNA from 1 species
AGAAAGACAGUCGCUCAAAGCGGCUUUUUUUAUAGCCGAAAAUCAGAAAAUCAAACCUUUCAAAGGGCGAUCCGAAUCG